rnacentral:rRNA from 1 species
UACGUAGGGUGCGAGCGUUAAUCGGAAUUACUGGGCGUAAAGCGUGCGCAGGCGGUUUUGUAAGUCAGAUGUGAAAUCCCCGGGCUCAACCUGGGAACUGCAUCUGUGACUGCAUAGCUAGAGUACGGUAGAGGGGGAUGGAAUUCCGCGUGUAGCAGUGAAAUGCGUAGAUAUGCGGAGGAACACCGAUGGCGAAGGCAAUCCCCUGGACCUGUACUGACGCUCAUGCACGAAAGCGUGGGGAGCAAACAGG